CAGUCGCCGCGGUAAUACAGAGGCCUCAAGCGUUGUUCGGAUUCAUUGGGCGUAAAGGGUGCGUAGGUGGCUUGGUAAGUUGAAGGUGAAAUCUCGGGGCUUAACCCCGAAACUGCCUUCAAUACUGCUAGGCUCGAGGACUGUAGAGGAGAAUGGAAUUCACGGUGUAGCAGUGAAAUGCGUAGAUAUCGUGAGGAAGACCAGUGGCGAAGGCGAUUCUCUGGGCAGUUCCUGACACUGAGGCACGAAGGCCAGGGGAGCAAACGGGAUUAGAUACCCCCGUAGUCCCUGUCUCUUAUAC
rnacentral:rRNA from 1 species